rnacentral:rRNA from 1 species
UACGUAGGGGUCGAGCGUUGUUCGGAAUUACUGGGCGUAAAGGGCGCGUAGGCGGUUUUGUCAGUCAGGCGUGAAAGCCCUGGGCUCAACCUGGGAUGUGCGCUUGAUACUGCAAGGCUUGAGUGCAGGAGAGGAUGGUGGAAUUCCCAGUGUAGAGGUGAAAUUCGUAGAUAUUGGGAAGAACACCGGUGGCGAAGGCGGCCAUCUGGACUGCAACUGACGCUGAGGCGCGAAAGCGUGGGGAGCAAAUAGG